CUACUAGUAUCGCUACUACCGAUUGAAUGAUUUAGUGGGGUCGUUGGAUUGGUGUCGUUGUAGUGGCGUUGCCGCUCGACUGGUGCUGAGAAGAUGACCUAAUUUGACCAUUUAGAGGAAGUAAAAGUCGUAAUAAGGUUUCCGUAGGUGAACCUGUGGAAG
rnacentral:ncRNA from 1 species